GGCUUUGUAGCUCAGUUGGCUAAAGCUUUGGCUCUACCAAAGCCUUCCCCUUGCUGGCGUGGGUUUGAAUCCAACCGAGGCCA
rnacentral:tRNA from 1 species